GAUGAACGCUAGCGGCAGGCUAAUACAUGCAAGUCGAACGGUAAGUUGGGUAGCAAUACCUGACCUAGAGUGACGUACGGGUGCGUAACACGUAUGCAACCUACCCUUUACUGGAGGAUAGCUCGGGGAAACUCGGAUUAACCCUCCAUAAUAUAAUUGGAUGGCAUCAUUUGAUUAUUAAAACUCCGGUGGUAAAGGAUGGGCAUGCGUCUGAUUAGCUAGUUGGCGGGGUAAUGGCCCACCAAGGCGAUGAUCAGUAGGGGAACUGAGAGGUUGAUCCCCCACACUGGCACUGAGAUACGGGCCAGACUCCUACGGGAGGCAGCAGUAGGGAAUAUUGGUCAAUGGAUGCAAGUCUGAACCAGCCAUGCCGCGUGCAGGAAGACGGCCCUAUGGGUUGUAAACUGCUUUUGUCAGGGGAUAAAACAGCUCUGCGGAGCAAAUUGAAGGUACCUGACGAAUAAGCCACGGCUAACUACGUG
rnacentral:rRNA from 1 species